rnacentral:lncRNA from 1 species
UUAAAAGUUGAGCGUUCGAAAUUACACAAGCAAGUUCUUCAGGUAUCUCGAGCUUGCCUGUAUAUGGGUUGUUUACCUAUUUACAGGGAGUUAGGGACACCCCAUCGUACAACUUUGUGUGAAGUUACAACCAUGACCUCAAACCCUAUACAUUCAACCAUAGAAUCUACUAGCGGCAUCAUCGUCUUUUUCUCUCAAAGCCUUGGUGCACAUGUUGGUGAGUCCUUUCUUCGUUUUCUUGCCAACGUGCCUCAUAUGCGCAUUUAAGCCGAAUCUUCUUCUAUUCCACUUUUGACCUGCAUUAGUGACCUUCAGGAAAUAUAAAGUGGUUGCUCCUGAAAUAAAUCACAAAAUGGUUAAGAUUAGCUGAUUCUGAGACAUUCGGUAAAGGCCUACCCUCAACGUCCAUCUAUUAAAUGAAUGAUCAUAAAAGUUCAUUUCGUCUCACCUUGAUUGCAAAGCAGGGUACCUGACUAUGGGUGUGUUUGGCAUGGCUCUGCUCCACCCCAGAGCAGCUCUACUAAACUCUGGGUGGAGCAGCUCUGCUCCAGAGUUUAGAUUGUUUCUCAUAACUAGUGGCAAUGGCGGGUAAAUAACUCAAAACUCCAUGACUAGGUUGUUUUUUUUGGAGUUUUCAGAGCAGCAAAAGAGGUACUCCAAAAAAUUGUACUGCAGCUCCAAAAACUCCAUAGAGUUUAUAACUCUGGAGUUAGGGUGUUUGGCAUGCUCUGGCCAGCUCCUCCUUGGAGUUUUGCUCUGGAGCCAUGCCAAACAGGCCCUAUGUUGCCAUUCCAAAUCACUCGUCUACUUCAAAAAAAAAAACCUUGAAUCAUCGACCACUAUGGACAUGUAAAUUAAGAUCCAAAUCGAGAUGGAAGAGAACAUCUAACAAUACACAACUUUUCCACAUUUGUUUCAUAAGCCUAAGAAUAAACGGUGAAAUUAGAGAUCACUGACAUUGCAGUUAAGGGCAACAAUUCAGCAAACAGGGUUGCCAAAAAAAAACGAGAGUAAAGACACCAACCAUAUAGAGAUACUACUUUUACAUGGCAAAAUUGUUCGGUAGGGGGCAUUUGUGCCAAGCCUUCAUAAGCCUUGCAUCUGCAUAUGCAUUCCCCGGAGCCCAGCUUGGUUCACAGAAUCACACACAUCCAUACGGAUGCAGGCAUCAAGCAAGCAGCCAGAGAGAGGGGGAAGCACAGGGAGAUGGACAAACAACGACGACGAUGGCCGAGAAGGUAGUAGUAGUACAGCAGCAGCAGCAGCAGCAGCAUCAGCACCAGAGAAGGCAGUAGUAGUACCAGCAGCGGCAGCAGUGGCCAAGCGGGCUUCAACGGGAUAAAUGCAUUCAGAUCUCCAUUCUUAAUGCAAACACUAUAAUCAUCAGGCUGGUAUAUCAAAAUGACUACCCCAUAACAAAACCGAACCAUUGAACUAUUUGCCUCCAAAAUGAACAGAAACUCAAAAAAAAAUUCAAGGUACUAUGCAUUGGCGUUUUUGCAAGUGGAGUGGACUCAUGCUUUCACAAAUAAUCUUCUUUUAGCACAAAAUGCAAUUGUACAUCAGGGAUACUUGUCAAAGCGCUCUCAGCCAGGAUGGUCGAAGUAAAUAAGAAUGGUCUGAUAUUUGGAAUAUGAUAGGCAACACUGGACAAGCCAAGCUUCAAAAGAGCAGAAAGCCAAACAUGAUCAAAGAACAGAAAGCCAAACAUGAUCACAAGAGAAGAGACAACUUGCAAGAAAAUAAGUCGAAUCUGAUAUUGGAAACAGAGAUUCCCCAAGACAGUGAUCAUGCAGUUACUUCCCUGAUACUGGGAACACUGAAGAUGUCCUUGUCCUGUUUCUUGCUAUUACUGUUUUCAUGCAGUCAAUUGUUGUGAUGGCAACUCAUGCAGACUCAAAACAUAACUCUUCCAAACUGCACCAAAAGCGAAAAAAAUAUAUAAUAAAAAAGAAAGAAAGCAAGAGGCACAUGUUACAAGAAAAUAAAUAGGGUUUUCAAAACAAUAUUACAAGAUUGCUGUAGAUUCCCCAAGUCAUCAUACUUUUGCAUCGCAAGAUUGAAUUGGCAACACUGCAGAUGUUCUUGUCUUUCUUCAAUCUUCUCACUAUCUGACAUUUUUCUUAUGCGGUGAAGUGGCAAAAAUAUGACAACACACAAACCAAACAUGUUUCUGAAAGGAAAGGAUCAACAGAUAGUGACUUAAUUCCAGGCAACCAACACCCAAGCUAAAAUGGCUUAUCUCAGUCACAUAUGAGAUGCCAGAAAACUUUUAUGGCCGUAAAUAAGCAUAUAAAAUGCUUUACUCCAGGUUCAAAGGAUAUCUAUCACUAGCAUGGUUCUACACGCAUUAACCUAUCCACCGUGUAAGCUAGAUAAGAAAAUUUGUAUUAGCAUUAGCAUCAGAGAUUCCCCUAGAUAGUCAUCAUGCCAUUGUGCCCCCAUGAACCAGGAGCACAGCAGAUGCAACUUUCUUUAAUUCACAUAAUCUUCCAGUUUUGUCCAUAGGGUUAAAUACUGCAUUUUGUACCUCGAAUAUCAGUCAAGCUAAAGCAAAAUCAUUAAUGUGAUGCUGACCAAAUCACAAGCAGACCACGGUGCAUUGCAGUACUCUAUAAUAGGAACAGCUUUUCAGAUAGUGAUAAAGAACUCGUUAAACAAGUUAAAAAUGAAUUUAGGCACCGCAAUCCAAUCUGGGAUAGCCUUCAUAACUCUUGCAUCUACAUAUGCAUCUCCCGGAGCCUGCUCAGCCAGUCAGUGGUGGAAGAAGGGCGAGGAUAUAUAUAUAUAUAUAGAUAGACAGAUAGAUGCAUGCAUGUGUGUGUAGUAGCUGGUAGUUUCCCUGAGAGAAAAUUACUUAUAAUUUGGAACGGAGCCACGGAGGUAGUAGUCAGGGAGAUCAACGAGCUGAGCUCACAUGACCCACCACAGCGGUCAAGCAGGCUUCGACGGAAAGCACAUUCAGAUCUCCGUUUUUUGUGCAAAGAAUGCUAAUCAUCAGGCUGACGGAUUAGAAUAGCCCCCAUAAAAAUAAAUCGACCAUCUAGUCAGCUCGGAAAUGAGGUUGAAACCACAACCUAUUUACAAGAGAUUAGGCAUUUCUACGAGCGCAUAGAUCCAGGCCCUCAAUAGUCAAUAUCACCAAGAAACAUACCAAAACAAAGUAACUCAGAAGUCAGAACGCGUGCUUUAGAAAGCUGAUUCCUCGAGAUAUGUUUGUAACUUUCACGCGCACUUCAUGGAAUCUGGAAUAAUAGGUUAUCAUCGGAUUUCUGCACCCCCGGCCGAAUCGACAAUCGAGGGCGCCGCAGAUUUACCUGUCAUGCGAUAGAUAAGAUGAGAGAUAGGAAAUAGCACCCAUAAUCUCCCAAAUCAGAUGUUUGCUGCAGUAAACGGCGAAGAAGUGGGUAAGAAGCUGCUGGGUGACGGAUCAUGAGAUGGCCGGUUCCCACGAAUAGGUAGGGCGAGGGUUUCCUUUCCAAAACCCAGAUGCAGGAUUGCAGGCCUUGGGGUUUUGUAGGUAGCGGAAAGGCGGUUUCGUGAGGAUCGUGAAAUCUCAAAGAGAGUCCUCGCGUCCCUUCUCUCUGCUCCAGAUCCAGGCCGAGUGGUUUUGUAGGCAGGUGUAUGGGG